UGGGCCGUAUAAGGAAAGUGCGCAUGCGCGGUUUCCGGGGUGGGGGAGCGGGUGGGCGGGGCCAUCGGCGGCGCGCAUGCGCGGUGCGACGCGCGCGGGGGCUGCCGGGAUGUUGGAGGACUCCGUCCGCCGCGGGAAGAGGAGAGCGGAGAGCGGAGAGGGGUCCCCCACCCCCAGACGUCGGCGAUGUCACCCUGAGCCCCCCCCACGCUCUGCCCCACGGCGCUAUGGGGUGCCCCACAACCGCCGCCGUUGAACUGAAGCUGAAAGGAGCCCCCCCACCCCCGACCCCCCCCAGCCCCACAUUUGGGGACCCUGAGCCCCACAGAUGCCACGUGUGGGGCUGGAGGGGUGGGGAAGGGAAAUGUGUGGGGCAGACCCCGAUGUGUGGGGCUGCAGCUGUGCUCUUUUUGCCCCUAAAUUGCUGUUUUUCACCCCAAAAUAAAGGAUAAAUGGGUUUGAGAGAUGUGGGGCAGAAGAUGGGGGGGAUUGGGGGGAGGAGAGGGCAAAUGCGGGGCAGAUGGGGGAGAUG
rnacentral:lncRNA from 1 species